AUGUCAGGCGAGGACGAGCAGCAGGAGCAAACUAUCGCCAAGGACCUGGUCAUGACCAGGUAGAAGAUGGGGGGCGACAUCACCAACAGGGUACUUCGGUCCUUGGUGGAAGCAUCUAGUUCAGGUGUGUCAGUACUGAGCCUCAGUGAGAAAGGUGAUGCCAUCAUUAUGCAAGAAACAGGGAAAAUCUUCAAGAAAGAAAAGGAUAUGAAGAACCGGGCGCGGAAGAAAGGUAUUGCUUUUCCCACCAGCAUUUCGGUAUAUAAUUGUGUAUGUCACUUCUCCCCUUUGAAGAGCGGCCAGGAUUAUAUUCUCAAGGAAGGUGACUUGGUAAAAAUUGACCUUGGGGUCCAUGCAGACGGCUUCACCGCUAAUGUAGCUCAUACUUUUGUGGUUGACGUAGCUCAGGGGACCCAAAUAACAGGAAGGAAAGCAGAUGUUAUUAAGGUAGCUCACCAUUGUGCUGAAGCUGCCCUAUGCCUGGUCAAACCUGGAAAUCAGAACACACAAGUGACAGAAGCCGGGAACAAAGUUGCCCACUCAUUUAACUGCAUGCCAACAGAAGGUAUGCCUGUCACACCAGUUCAGGCAGCACGUCAUCGACGGAGAAAAAUCCAUUACCCAGAAUCCCACAGAGCAGCAGAAGAAGGACCGUGAAAAAGCUGAAUUUGAGGUACAUGAAGCAUAUGCUGUGGAUGUUCUCCUCAGCUCAGGAGAGGGAAGGCCAAGGAUGCAGGACAGAGAACCACUAUUUACAAACGAGACCCCUCCAGACAGUAUGGACUGAAAAUGAAAACCUGACGUGCCUUCUUCAGUGAGGUGGAAAGGCAUUUUGACGCUACGCCGUUUACUUUCCGAGCAUUUGAAGAUGAGAAGAAGGCUCGGAUGGGUGUGGUGGAGUGCCCCAAGCGUGGACUGCUGCAACCAUUUAAUGUUCUCUAUGAGAAGGAGGGGGCAUUUGCUGCCCAGUUUAAAUUUACAGUUCUGCUCGUGCCCAAUGGCCCCAUGCUCAUAACCAGUGGCCCCUUCCAGCCUGACCUCCAUAAGUCUGAGAUGGAGGUCCAGGAUGCAGAGCUAAAGACCCUCCUCCAGAGUUCUGCAAGUCGAAAAACCCAGAAAAAGAAAAAAAAAGAAGGCCUCCAAGACUGCAGAGAAUGCCACCACUGGGGAAACAUUAGAAGAAAAUGAAGCUGGAGACUGAGGUGGGUCCCAUCUCCCCAGCUUGCUGCUCCUGCCUCAUCCCCUUCCCACCACACCCCAGACUUUGGGAAGUGCAGUUCUCCUCCACCUAGGACCACCAGCAGAGCGGGGGUCUCCCUGCCCCCACCCCAGUUCCCCAACCCACCCCCUUCCAACAGCAACCAGCUCCAUCUGACUCCGGUCUUGGGAGGCAAGGCUUCCCAACCACAGAAGACUACUUUAAAUGAGAAAAAGAAAUGAAAUAAUAAAAUCAGGAGUCAAAAUUCAUCGUCUUCAAGCCCCUCUUUCUAGCCUUUUCUACUACUCUCUGCUUGGUCAAAG